rnacentral:lncRNA from 1 species
UACAUUCCAAUCAGUAGCAUGAACCACAGAGAGUGCCCAGCAAUUGGUACUGUCCACCCAAAAGAAACAAACUCAAAAAAUGAGGAAAGUGAAGGCAGGAAGUGACAAGACAUGUUUUGCAAUUCUCUGUCGUGGUCAACGGGGGACGUGAAGGACCACGAGGAUCACUUUUGCUGGCUCCUUCCUCAGCACACACGGAGUACUGCUUGAGCAAAGGCACGGACAGCAUGAAAGGAGAGACCUCUGCCUCUGCCACGGAUCAAGUUACAGCCUUAAGCACAGAGUUCAGUUCACCUUACCAAGCCUCACGUUUUCUUUGCAAGACUUUGUAUGAAUGAAUACAAAGGAGUAAACAGUGAAAUACCCCCUCUGGGCUACCAAGAAUUUGAAUGAGCUCUUCUAAAAGGAAAUCUGCUACCUGACAUGUCUUGUACAGCACUUGAUUAAACACAACCAACUUGGGUGCAGAUUCUUAGCUGCAAUGUGUCUGGGUUUUGCCACCCUGUACUGCUGCACUUUUUCACCAAUGAUUGCAAGUGAAAAAAGAGGCCAGUGUUAAAAAAUCAGUGAUUCUGAGCAUGUAUGCAAGUAACUGCAAACUGUCUUAGCUUGGAACCAACUAUCUUCACUUAUCCAUUUGAAGAAACAAGGAAUUUAAGGCAUCUUUCAAAGGAAGAAGUUGACUCUUUUCUCCAUGGGCCUUCGUAGUGAGUAGCUCUGAUGAUGGGAGCUCCAUUCCUUUACACUUAUGGUGAUACAAGUAAGGAAGCAAUGAAGGCUGGCUUCCUGCCCCUUUUUAUUUGCAUUCCAGAAACCAUUUUUGCACCAUCUGUGAUCCUGUUGCAAAACCUACACGGGAAUAAAGAUUGCCUUCAGACUUCAUCGCAGAUAAGACCACACAUGGCUGAAGACAUGAAGAACGAGCUCCCUGGGGCCUUAUUCACAGAUGUAGCUAAGUCUCCUCCUCUUAAAGGAAUUCUGAACCCACCUCUCCUGGCCCUACUCGCAUCCGGACCACUGCUGCCCCAGCCCCUGUGCUUCUUCAGCACCACUCUGGGCUCUCUAUGCUCUAGCCCUGCACCGCUCUGCUCUGCUGGACUUCCAGCAGUUCCAACUGCUGCCGCCAAGUUUCUGAUACAUCUCGUCCACCAGACCGGGAUCUUUUGCUCAUUCCUGCCAUUCCAGUUUAGUGCUCUUCAGAGUCCUGCAGGGGUACCAGGACCGACUACCCCAGAGCUUUGCGAAGCAAAGCCGCCCCUCCCUCCUAUGGCGUCUCAGCUGAGAGGACUGUUACCAGGUCCCUGGUUCUGUUUGUUAUUAAUGCCAUAGUUGUUGUUUUUGUUUGCCUUGUUAUACAUACUAGAAAAUAACUGUUAUUCCUAUCCUCGUAUCUUUGCCUGAGAGCCCCUUAAUUUCAAAAUUAUAAUAAUUUGGAGGGAGGGGGUUUGCAUUCUCCAAUCCAACGGAGGCUCCUGCCUUCCCUAGCAGACACCUGUCUUUCAAACAGAGACGAUAUAUUUUAAUAGAAAUUAUCUUCAAAAAAGCUGUGAUCAGUGACAGGAUGAUGCAUUUUUUAUGGUGGAUUUAAACUAUACUCUUUGAUAUUUCUCACUCCUGUUGCUAUACUAAGUAGAGAGAGAAAAAACUAUUAUAUUUAUUGUAUAGAAAUCAGCAAACUGAAUUAUGUGCAAUGUACAAAAAUGUAAAACUACUUCAGUCAGAGUAAAUAUUUAUAGAACUGUGACUUUUAAAUAUUGCAAUGUUGUUUAGUAAAGAACUUUUCCUGCAGUUUAGAAGUAUAAAUUCUGGUCCAAAAAUAUCAGGAGGUACUUUUUCCUUUCCCACAGCACCCUGAUAUCUGAAUUGGAACAUUAUGGGAGGUGGGUCUGGAUGGGUGGCCUACUAGAUGGGUAAAAACCUGCCUAGGCCCUGAGGCCAAAAGGGUGGGUGGUUAAUGGCCCACACUCUACCUGGAGGCCAGUUGUGGUAUUUUCAAGGCCUCUCUUGUCUAACGCCUUUUACAGUGAUCUAGAGGAGAGGUCAGAGUUCGUUUUCACUGAACUUUCAGGGGACAUCUUGUUGGUGCAUGCAGCCAAUCUGCUUGAAGCCGCGACCACUUCCAGGAGUGCCUGGCAGGCUGGAGGGAUGGGCUGGCAGGAGCUCUAAGUAAUAAAACAAGGACAAUUGCAAAGCUGUACCCCUUGAAUGUAUGAAAGCCAUACAGUGGUACAAGUUGUGGGGCAGCUCUGUAGAGAAGACAGUGGAGGAUCUAGUGAUGAACGUACUCUGGCAGUAGGUCAGGGAAGCAGUGUUUGGGGUUGUAUAAUCAGGAACAUACACAAUGGCAGGGGAGAAGUCUAUGCCCUUUAAAUUCACCUGUUGACCCUAUCUAGGAGACUGGAGUCUCUUGAGCAGUAAAGGAAGGCAUUGUUAAUGCAGCAGGUUCCAUGGAGGACUGCCAAGAUGGCUGGGACUGGAGAAAAAGUGCAGGCAUCCUGUAAGGAGAGGCUGAGGCAGUGAUUAUGGUAAAUUUAGCAUGAAGACACAGUCACAAGAGUCCCUCUCAGGAGGGUGAGAAACAACAGACAUAAACUGAAAUGGGUGUUGUCCUACUGAAAACAGGAGAAUAUUCUUUUACUCUGAUGGCAGUCCAGCAGUGGAACAAGCUGCCCAAGGAGAAUGUGCAGCCUUCAGCCUUGGAGGCUUUCAAGACCUAACUGGAUCAAACCCUGAGCAGCCUGAGCUGACCUCAGGACUGAUUCUACUUUGAGUGACAAGUUGGACUAGAUAUCCUCUGGGGCCUUUUCCAACCUGGAUAAAUCUAUGAUUCACGAGAUGUUUCAAGAUCUUUCAUGGAGCUUUGUAACACUACCUUCUUUAACUUUCUUUAGCUUUGACAUGGAAAUCUUCUAAACUAUUUCUAAAAGUAGAUCUAAAAGAAAAUCCCUCAAAAUAACUCUUCUAUUUUAGGAAAGUACUGUCAUUAUAUAUAUAUAUAUAUAUAUAUAUAAGUUCUGAAUACUUCAGCUUAUUUUGAAAGGCUUUUCAUGAAAUAAUGAAAGCAAGAGCAAGCUUUUAAAAAUUUAAUCUAGAUGAGCUAUGUAGGAAUAAAUUAUGCCUGAGGAUAUGCUGUCAUAUUUAAGUGUAGGAAGGUAUAAUUACAAGUGCUACAAGUACAAAACAGAGCUUCAUAGAGAAAUUAAGACUUCUUUAAGAAAAAUAAAAGGAAUUGCAAAUGUCUGUGUGGCUUAAGUUUUCUUCUUUUGUUACUAUGGCUACAAUAAAGAAUUACCAAAGGAAUUGGAUUGGUACAGUAUUAAAGAUUUGGAGUGCUAAUUAGUAUUCUCCUUCUAUUACUCUGAUAGCCACAUAAUCCAGAAUAAUUUAUUCUAAAUCACUUAACUCUGAAUGCUUUUUAGCAUUGUUUUGAAAGUAAAUGCCAACUUUAUUGAUU